UACGAAGGGUGCAAACGUUGCUCGGAAUUAUUGGGCGUAAAGCGCACGUAGGCGGCUCUUCAAGUCCCAUGUGAAAGCCCACGGCUUAACCGUGGAAGUGCAUGGGAAACUGGAAAGCUUGAGUACAAAAGAGGAUCGCGGAAUUCCCGGUGUAGAGGUGAAAUUCGUAGAUAUCGGGAGGAACACCGGUGGCGAAGGCGGCCUUCUGGACAGUGACUGACGCUGAGACGCGAAAGCGUGGGGAGCAAACAGG
rnacentral:rRNA from 1 species